rnacentral:rRNA from 1 species
GUCUAUGGCCAUACCGCCCUGAAUGUGUCUGAUCUUGUCUGAUCUUGGAAGCUAAGCAGGGUCGGGCCUGGUUAGCGCUUGGAUGAGAGAAGAGGUCCACUGUGAUCCCUUCCUCGUCUACCAGGGUGGUCACAGAAA